GGGGAUGUAGCUCAGUGGGAGAGCGUGUGCUUCGCAUGUAUGAGGUCCUGGGUUCAAUCCCCAGCAUCUCCA
rfam:Larimichthys crocea isolate SSNF unplaced genomic scaffold scaffold109, whole genome shotgun sequence.